UGCGUAACGCGUGAGCAACCUACCCAUAUCAGGGGGAUAGCCUCUCGAAAGAGAGAUUAACACCGCAUAACAUCAUUAACCGGCAUCGGAUUAUGAUCAAAUAUUUAUAGGAUAUGGAUGGGCUCGCGUGACAUUAGCUAGUUGGAGAGGUAACGGCUCACCAAGGCUACGAUGUCUAGGGGCUCUGAGAGGAGAAUCCCCCACACUGGUACUGAGACACGGACCAGACUCCUACGGGAGGCAGCAGUAAGGAAUAUUGGUCAAUGGAGGCAACUCUGAACCAGCCAUGCCGCGUGCAGGAUGACUGCCCUAUGGGUUGUAAACUGCUUUUGUCAGGGAAUAAACCUUUCUACGUGUAGGAAGCUGAAUGUACCUGAAGAAUAAGGAUCGGCUAACUCCGUGCCAGCAGCCGCGGUAAUACGGAGGAUCCAAGCGUUAUCCGGAUUUAUUGGGUUUAAAGGGUGCGUAGGCGGUCCUAUAAGUCAGUGGUGAAAGACGGCAGCUUAACUGUCGCAGUGCCUUUGAUACUGUAGGACUUGAAUCUAUUUGAAGUGGGCGGAAUAAGACAAGUAGCGGUGAAAUGCAUAGAUAUGUCUUAGAACUCCGAUUGCGAAGGCAGCUCACUAAGUUAGUAUUGACGCUGAUGCACGAAAGCGUGGGGAUCAAACAGGAUUAGAUA
rnacentral:rRNA from 1 species